rnacentral:siRNA from 1 species
UGAACUUGAAAGAACUGCAAA